UUUCCGUAGGUGAACCUGCGGAAAGAUCAUUACUGAGUGAGGGCCCCUCGGGGUCCAACCUCCCACCCGUGUUUAACGAACCUUGUUGCUUCGGCGGGCCCGCCUCACGGCCGCCGGGGGGCAUCUGCCCCCGGGCCCGCGCCCGCCGAAGCCACCUGUGAACGCUGUCUGAAGUAUGCAGUCUGAGACAAUUAUUAAAUUAAUUAAAACUUUCAACAACGGAUCUCUUGGUUCCG
rnacentral:misc_RNA from 1 species